rnacentral:rRNA from 1 species
AUUGAACGCUGGCGGCAUGCCUUACACAUGCAAGUCGAACGGCAGCGCGGGGCAACCUGGCGGCGAGUGGCGAACGGGUGAGUAAUAUAUCGGAACGUACCCUGGAGUGGGGGAUAACGUAGCGAAAGUUACGCUAAUACCGCAUACGAUCUAAGGAUGAAAGUGGGGGAUUCGCAAGAACCUCAUGCUCCUGGAGCGGCCGAUAUCUGAUUAGCUAGUUGGUAGGGUAAAAGCCUACCAAGGCAUCGAUCAGUAGCUGGUCUGAGAGGACGACCAGCCACACUGGAACUGAGACACGGUCCAGACUCCUACGGGAGGCAGCAGUGGGGAAUUUUGGACAAUGGGCGCAAGCCUGAUCCAGCAAUGCCGCGUGAGUGAAGAAGGCCUUCGGGUUGUAAAGCUCUUUUGUCAGGGAAGAAACGGGCCUUUCUAAUACAGGGGCCUAAUGACGGUACCUGAAGAAUAAGCACCGGCUAACUACGUGCCAGCAGCCGCGGUAAUACGUAGGGUGCAAGCGUUAAUCGGAAUUACUGGGCGUAAAGCGUGCGCAGGCGGUUUUGUUAGACUGUCGUGAAAUCCCCGGGCUCAACCUGGGAAUGGCGAUGGUGACUGCAAGGCUAGAGUCUGGCAGAGGGGGGUAGAAUUCCACGUGUAGCAGUGAAAUGCGUAGAUAUGUGGAGGAACACCGAUGGCGAAGGCAGCCCCCUGGGUCAAAACUGACGCUCAUGCACGAAAGCGUGGGGAGCAAACAGGAUUAGAUACCCUGGUAGUCCACGCCCUAAACGAUGUCUACUAGUUGUCGGGUUUUAAUUAACUUGGUAACGCAGCUAACGCGUGAAGUAGACCGCCUGGGGAGUACGGUCGCAAGAUUAAAACUCAAAGGAAUUGACGGGGACCCGCACAAGCGGUGGAUGAUGUGGAUUAAUUCGAUGCAACGCGAAAAACCUUACCUACCCUUGACAUGGCAGAGAUCCCGGAGAGAUUCGGGAGUGCUCGAAAGAGAAUCUGCACACAGGUGCUGCAUGGCUGUCGUCAGCUCGUGUCGUGAGAUGUUGGGUUAAGUCCCGCAACGAGCGCAACCCUUGUCAUUAGUUGCUACGAAAGAGCACUCUAAUGAGACUGCCGGUGACAAACCGGAGGAAGGUGGGGAUGACGUCAAGUCCUCAUGGCCCUUAUGGGUAGGGCUUCACACGUCAUACAAUGGUACAUACAGAGGGCCGCCAACCCGCGAGGGGGAGCUAAUCCCAGAAAGUGUAUCGUAGUCCGGAUUGUAGUCUGCAACUCGACUGCAUGAAGUUGGAAUCGCUAGUAAUCGCGGAUCAGCAUGUCGCGGUGAAUACGUUCCCGGGUCUUGUACACACCGCCCGUCACACCAUGGGAGCGGGUUUUACCAGAAGUAGGUAGCUUAACCGUAAGGAGGGCGCUUACCACGGUAGGAUUCGUGACUGGGGUGAAGUCGUAACAAGGUAGCCGUAUCGGAAGG